GAUGAACGCUGGCGGCGUGCCUAAUACAUGCAAGUCGAGCGAACAGACGAGGAGCUUGCUCCUCUGACGUUAGCGGCGGACGGGUGAGUAACACGUGGAUAACCUACCUAUAAGACUGGGAUAACUUCGGGAAACCGGAGCUAAUACCGGAUAACAUGUUGAACCGCAUGGUUCAACAGUGAAAGACGGUCUUGCUGUCACUUAUAGAUGGAUCCGCGCCGCAUUAGCUAGUUGGUAAGGUGACGGCUUACCAAGGCAACGAUGCGUAGCCGACCUGAGAGGGUGAUCGGCCACACUGGAACUGAGACAUGGUCCAGACUCCUACGGGAGGCAGCAGUAGGGAAUCUUCCGCAAUGGGCGAAAGCCUGACGGAGCAACGCCGCGUGAGUGAAGAAGGUCUUCGGAUCGUAAAACUCUGUUAUUAGGGAAGAACAAAUGUGUAAGUAACUAUGCACGUCUUGACGGUACCUAAUCAGAAAGCCACGGCUAACUACGUG
rnacentral:rRNA from 1 species